ACUUGGUUGGCUUAGUUGGUAGAGUUUUGACUCUUGAUCUUAGGUUGUGAGUUCAAGCCCCACAUUGGGUG
rnacentral:tRNA from 1 species